UGGGGAAUUUUGGACAAUGGGCGAAAGCCUGAUCCAGCAAUGCCGCGUGUGUGAAGAAGGCCUUCGGGUUGUAAAGCACUUUUGUCCGGAAAGAAAUCCUUGGCUCUAAUACAGUCGGGGGAUGACGGUACCGGAAGAAUAAGCACCGGCUAACUACGUGCCAGCAGCCGCGGUAAUACGUAGGGUGCAAGCGUUAAUCGGAAUUACUGGGCGUAAAGCGUGCGCAGGCGGUUUGCUAAGACCGAUGUGAAAUCCCCGGGCUCAACCUGGGAACUGCAUUGGUGACUGGCAGGCUAGAGUAUGGCAGAGGGGGGUAGAAUUCCACGUGUAGCAGUGAAAUGCGUAGAGAUGUGGAGGAAUACCGAUGGCGAAGGCAGCCCCCUGGGCCAAUACUGACGCUCAUGCACGAAAGCGUGGGGAGCAAACAGGAUUAGAUACCCUGGUAGUCCACGCCCUAAACGAUGUCAACUAGUUGUUGGGGAUUCAUUUCCUUAGUAACGUAGCUAACGCGUGAAGUUGACCGCCUGGGGAGUACGGUCGCAAGAUUAAAACUCAAGGAAUUGACGGGGUCAUAGCUGUUUCCU
rnacentral:rRNA from 1 species